rnacentral:rRNA from 1 species
UGCCUUAGUAGCGGCGAGUGAAGCGGCAAAAGCUCAAAUUUGAAAUCUGGCACCUUCGGUGUCCGAGUUGUAAUUUGAAGAUUGUAACCUUGGGGUUGGCUCUUGUCUAUGUUUCUUGGAACAGGACGUCACAGAGGGUGAGAAUCCCGUGCGAUGAGAUGCCCAAUCCUAUGUAAGGUGCUUUCGAAGAGUCGAGUUGUUUGGGAAUGCAGCUCUAAGUGGGUGGUAAAUUCCAUCUAAAGCUAAAUAUUGGCGAGAGACCGAUAGCGAACAAGUACAGUGAUGGAAAGAUGAAAAGAACUUUGAAAAGAGAGUGAAAAAGUACGUGAAAUUGUUGAAAGGGAAGGGUUUGAGAUCAGACUCGAUAUUUUGUGAGCCUUGCCUUCGUGGCGGGGUGACCCGCAGCUUAUCGGGCCAGCAUCGGUUUGGGCGGUAGGAUAAUGGCGUAGGAAUGUGACUUUGCUUCGGUGAAGUGUUAUAGCCUGCGUUGAUGCUGCCUGCCUAGACCGAGGACUGCGAUUUUAUCAAGGAUGCUGGCAUAAUGAUCCCAAACCGCCCGU